rnacentral:rRNA from 1 species
AACGAACGUUAGCGGCGCGCCUAAUACAUGCAAGUCGUGCGAGAAAGGGCUUCGGCCCCGGUAAAGCGGCGCACGGGUGAGUAACACGUAGGUCAUCUCCCCUCGAGUGGUGGAUAACCCUCCGAAAGGAGGACUAAUACAGCAUAAGACCACGACCUCGCUGAGGUUGCGGUCAAAGCGGACCUCUUCAUGAAAGUUCGCGCUUGAGGAUGAGCCUGCGGCCCAUCAGCUAGUUGGUAAGUAACGGCUUACCAAGGCAUAGACCGGGUAGCUGGUCUGAGAGGAUGAACAGCCACACUGGAACUGAAACACGGUCCAGACUCCUACGGGAGCAG